rnacentral:piRNA from 1 species
UCCAUUGUUUGACUAUAAAAA